rnacentral:rRNA from 1 species
CCUACGGGCGGCUGCAGUGAGGAAUAUUGGUCAAUGGGCGGGAGCCUGAACCAGCCAAGUCGCGUGAGGGAAGACGGUCCUAUGGAUUGUAAACCUCUUUAGGCGGGGAGCAAUGCCGGGCACGCGUGCCCGGGGGGAGAGUACCCGCAGACUACGCAUCGGCUCACUCCGUGCCAGCCGCCGCGGUAAUACGGAGGAUGCGAGCGUUAUCCGGAUUUGUUGGGUUUAAAGGGUGCGUAGGCGGAUUUUUAAGUCAGCGGUAAAAUGUCCGGGCUCAACCCGGGCCGGCCGUUGAAACUGGGGAUCUUGAGUGGGCGAGAAGUAUGCGGAAUGCGUGGUGUAGCGGUGAAAUGCAUAGAUAUCACGCAGAACUCCGAUUGCGAAGGCAGCAUACCGGCGCCCGACUGACGCUGAGGCACGAAAGCGUGGGGAUCGAACAGGAUUAGAUACCCUGGUAGUC